rnacentral:rRNA from 1 species
CCUACGGGAGGCAGCAGUGGGGAAUAUUGGACAAUGGGGGGAACCCUGAUCCAGCGACGCCGCGUGAGUGAAGAAGUAUUUCGGUAUGUAAAGCUCUAUCAGCAGGGAAGAAAGAAAUGACGGUACCUGACUAAGAAGCCCCGGCUAACUACGUGCCAGCAGCCGCGGUAAU